rnacentral:rRNA from 1 species
UAGGGAAUCUUCCACAAUGGACGAAAGUCCGAUGGAGCAACGCCGCGUGAGUGAAGAAGGGUUUCGGCUCGUAAAACUCUGUUGUUAAAGAAGAACAUAUCUGAGAGUAACUGUUCAGGUAUUGACGGUAUUUAACCAGAAAGCCACGGCUAACUACGUGCCUG